GAGUUUGAUCGUGGCUCAGAACGAACGCUGGCGGCAGGCUUAACACAUGCAAGUCGAACGCGUGUAGCAAUACACGAGUGGCGCACGGGUGAGUAACACGUGGAUAUCUGCCUUUUGGUUCGGAAUAACCCUGGGAAACUAGGGCUAAUACCGGAUGGUUCCUACGGGAUAAAGAUUUAUCGCCAAAAGAUGAGUCCGCGUCCGAUUAGCUAGUUGGUGAGGUAAUGGCUCACCAAGGCGACGAUCGGUAGCUGGUCUGAGAGGACGAUCAGCCACACUGGGACUGAGACACGGCCCAGACUCCUACGGGAGGCAGCAGUGGGGAAUAUUGGACAAUGGGGGCAACCCUGAUCCAGCCAUGCCGCGUGAGUGAUGAAGGCC
rnacentral:rRNA from 1 species